ensembl:snRNA U6 U6 spliceosomal RNA
GUGCUUUGCUUCUGUAGCCCACGUCCUAAAAUUGAAUGGUACAGAGAAGAUGAGUAUGGCCCUCACUCAAGGAUGAUUUGCAAAUUCACGAAAUAUUCCAUAUUUCU